rnacentral:rRNA from 1 species
AGCAGCCGCGGUAAUUCCAGCUCCAAUAGCGUAUAUUAAAGUUGUUGCAGUUAAAAGGCUCGUAGUUGAAUUUCGGGACCAAUUUGUUGGUCGUGCCUCGGUACGUACUGGUAUUAUUGGUUUCUCCCUUCUGAAGAACCUCGAUGCCAUUAAUUUGGUGUCGUGGGGAAUCAGGACUGUUACUUUGAAAAAUUAGAGUGUUUAAAGCAAGCAUACGCUUGAAUACAUUAGCAUGGAAUAAUGAAAUAGGACGUUUGAUUCUAUUUUGUUGGUUUCUAGGAUCGACGUAAUGAUUAAUAGGGAUAGUUGGGGGCAUUAGUAUUCAAUUGUCAGAGGUGAAAUUCUUGGAUUUAUUGAAGACUAACUACUGCGAAAGCAUUUGCCAAGGAUGUUUUCAUUAAUCAAGAACGAAAGUUAGGGGAUCGAAGACGAUCAGAUACCGUCGUAGUC